AUUGAACGCUGGCGGCAGGCCUAACACAUGCAAGUCGAACGAGUGGCGGACGGGUGAGUAAUGUCUGGGAAACUGCCUGAUGGAGGGGGAUAACUACUGGAAACGGUAGCUAAUACCGCAUACCAUCGGAUGUGCCCAGAUGGGAUUAGCGAGUAGGUGGGGUAAAGGCUCACCUAGGCGACGAUCCCUAGCUGGUCUGAGAGGAUGACCGUCCACAGUGGAACUGAGACACGGUCCAGACGCGUACGUGAGGCAGCAGUGGGGAAUAGUGCACAAGGGGCGCAAGCCUGAUGCAGCCAGGCCGCGUGUAUGAAGAAGGCCUUCGGGUUGUAAAGUACUUUCAGCGGGGAGGCGUUACCCGCAGAAGAAGCACCGGCUAACUCCGUGCCAGCAGCCGCGGUAAUUC
rnacentral:rRNA from 1 species